rnacentral:rRNA from 1 species
UUGGAGGGCAAGUCUGGUGCCAGCAGCCGCGGUAAUUCCAGCUCCAAUAGCGUAUAUUAAAGUUGUUGCAGUUAAAAAGCUCGUAGUUGAACUUCGGGAUCAAUGGAUUGGUCAUGCCGUUGGUAUGUACUGGUCAUAUUGGUUCUCACCUUCUAAGGAACCAUAAUGUCAUUCAUUUGAUGUUUUGGGGAAUUAGGACUGUUAUCUUGAAAAAAUUAGAGUGUUUAAAGCAGGCUAACGCUUGAAUACAUUAGCAUGGAAUAAUGAAAUAGGACAUCGCAUUCUAUUUUGUUGGUUUCUAGGAUCGAUGUAAUGAUUAAUAGGGAUAGUUGGGGGCAUUAGUAUUCAAUUGUCAGAGGUGAAAUUCUUGGAUUUAUUGAAGACUAACUACUGCGAAAGCAUUUGCCAAGGAUGUUUUCAUUAAUCAAGAACGAAAGUUAGGGGAUCGAAGACGAUCAGAUACCGUCGUAGUCUUAACCAUAAACUAUGCCGACUAGGGAUCGGAUGAUGUUAAUUUUUUAAUGACUCAUUCGGCGCCUUACGGGAAAC